AACGAACGCUGGCGGCAUGCCUAACACAUGCAAGUCGAACGAGAUCUUCGGGUCUAGUGGCGCACGGGUGCGUAACGCGUGGGAAUCUGCCCUUUGGUUCGGAAUAACAGUUGGAAACGACUGCUAAUACCGGAUGAUGACGUAAGUCCAAAGAUUUAUCGCCAGAGGAUGAGCCCGCGUAGGAUUAGCUAGUUGGUGUGGUAAAGGCGCACCAAGGCGACGAUCCUUAGCUGGUCUGAGAGGAUGAUCAGCCACACUGGGACUGAGACACGGCCCAGACUCCUACGGGAGGCAGCAGUGGGGAAUAUUGGAAAAUGGGCGAAAGCCUGAUCCAGCAAUGCCGCGUGAGUGAUGAAGGCCUUAGGGUUGUAAAGCUCUUCUACCCGGGAUGAUAAUGACAGUACCGGGAGAAUAAGCUCCGGCUAACUCCGUGCCAGCCGCCGCCGUAA
rnacentral:rRNA from 1 species